rnacentral:rRNA from 1 species
CAUCCCGUCCGAUCUGCGCAGUUAACCAGAGUGCCGCCCAGUUAGUACCACGGUGGGGGACCACGCGGGAAUCCUA